GACGAACGCUGGCGGCGUGCCUAAUACAUGCAAGUCGAACGCUGAAGGAGGAGCUUGCUUCUCUGGAUGAGUUGCGAACGGGUGAGUAACGCGUAGGUAACCUGCCUGGUAGCGGGGGAUAACUAUUGGAAACGAUAGCUAAUACCGCAUAAUAGUAGAUGUUGCAUGACAUUUGCUUAAAAGGUGCAAUUGCAUCACUACCAGAUGGACCUGCGUUGUAUUAGCCAGUUGGUGGGGUAACGGCUCACCAAGGCGACGAUACAUAGCCGACCUGAGAGGGUGAUCGGCCACACUGGGACUGAGACACGGCCCAGACUCCUACGGGAGGCAGCAGUAGGGAAUCUUCGGCAAUGGACGGAAGUCUGACCGAGCAACGCCGCGGGAGUGAAGAAGGUUUUCGGAUCGUAAAGCUCUGUUGUAAGAGAAGAACGAGUGUGAGAGUGGAAAGUUCACACUGUGACGGUAUCUUACCAGAAAGGGACGGCUAACUACGUG
rnacentral:rRNA from 1 species